AAGUCGUAACAAGGUCUCCGUUGGUGGACCAGCGGAGGGAUCAUUACAGAGUUGCAAACUCCUUAAACCAUCGCGAACGUACCCGUACCGUUGCUUCGGUGGGCGGCUCCAGGGCGGAGCCGAAGCCUUCACGGGCGCCCGCCGGAGGACCUAUACCUAACUAUUUAUCUCAACUGGCCUCUCUGAGUAUUUUAUAAUAAGUAAAA
rnacentral:misc_RNA from 1 species